rnacentral:rRNA from 1 species
AGUCGAGCGGCAGCACAGAGGAACUUGUUCCUUGGGUGGCGAGCGGCGGACGGGUGAGUAAUGCCUAGGAAAUUGCCCUGAUGUGGGGGAUAACCAUUGGAAACGAUGGCUAAUACCGCAUGAUGCCUACGGGCCAAAGAGGGGACCUUCGGGCCUCUCGCGUCAGGAUAUGCCUAGGUGGGAUUAGCUAGUUGGUGAGGUAAUGGCUCACCAAGGCGACGAUCCCUAGCUGGUCUGAGAGGAUGAUCAGCCACACUGGAACUGAGACACGGUCCAGACUCCUACGGGAGGCAGCAGUGGGGAAUAUUGCACAAUGGGCGCAAGCCUGAUGCAGCCAUGCCGCGUGUAUGAAGAAGGCCUUCGGGUUGUAAAGUACUUUCAGUCGUGAGGAAGGUGGUGUUGUUAAUAGCAGCAUCAUUUGACGUUAGCGACAGAAGAAGCACCGGCUAACUCCGUGCCAGCAGCCGCGGUAAUACGGAGGGUGCGAGCGUUAAUCGGAAUUACUGGGCGUAAAGCGCAUGCAGGUGGUGGAUUAAGUCAGAUGUGAAAGCCCGGGGCUCAACCUCGGAACCGCAUUUGAAACUGGUUCACUAGAGUACUGUAGAGGGGGGUAGAAUUUCAGUGUAGCGGUGAAAUGCGUAGAGAUCUGAAGAAUACCGGUGGCGAAGCGGCCCCCUGGACAGAUACUGACACUCAGAUGCGAAAGCGUGGGGAGCAAACAGAUUAGAUACCCUGCUAGUCCACGCCGUAACGAUGUCUAC